rnacentral:lncRNA from 1 species
CGGUAUCGGGGCUCCAACUAUCUGAGGUUUUCCACAGGAGUAUGUUCAUUGGCUUUUCCGCCUCUUCUGGCUCCUGCAACGACAGCCACGAGAUCAUGAGAUGGCAAUUCGACUCAAACUACAAAAAUCACCGAUCGUCACCUCCGUCUCGGCAUCGAGAUUCAAAGUCGAAGACGGCAGCUCUUGGCUUUGCUAGCCAAAUCUAUCCCGUGCUUGGCAUAGCACUAGUAGCCGUGGGACUCGCGUCGCUUUGGUACGUAUGCCUGGGAAAACCGAUCUUGAAGAGCUUUCAUCGAAAUGGAUGCAAACUGUUAGCUCACUUUAGCUAUGACGAUAUCAGCCGAGCUACCGGGAGAUUUGACGAGAGACUUGUCCUUGGCCGUGGAGCAUUUGGAACAGUGUACAAAGCCGAGUUUAAAGGCCCGACGACUGUCGCAGUGAAGAUCUUGGCGCAAACCGGUUUGGAAGUCGAGCACCAGUUCCUGGCGGAGCUCUCCACACUGGGAAAGAUCAAACACCCGAACUUAGUCGAUCUCCAAGGUUGGUGUCACUCUAGAGGAAAGCUCAUGCUAGUCUACGAGUACUUACCGAAUGGAAGCUUGGACAGACACCUUUUCUCCGAGAGCGAAAAGUUCCUCUCAUGGGAGAGAAGGUCCCAGAUCAUCCAUGGAGUCGC